CACGUAGGGGGCGAGCGUUGUCCGGAUUUAUUGGGCGUAAAGAGCUCGUAGGCGGCUCGGUAAGUCGGGUGUGAAAACUCGGGGCUCAACCCCGAGACGCCACUCGAUACUGCUGUGGCUUGAGUCCGGUAGGGGAGCGUGGAAUUCCUGGUGUAGCGGUGAAAUGCGCAGAUAUCAGGAGGAACACCGGUGGCGAAGGCGGCGCUCUGGCCCGGUACUGACGCUGAGGUGCGAAAGCGUGGGGAGCAAACAGG
rnacentral:rRNA from 1 species